rnacentral:rRNA from 1 species
GACGAACGCUGGCGGCGUGCUUAACACAUGCAAGUCGUACGGUAAGGCCCUUUCGGGGGUACACGAGUGGCGAACGGGUGCGUAACACGUGAGUAACCUGUCCACAACUUUGGGAUAACGCUAGGAAACUGGUGCUAAUACUGGAUAUGUGCUCCUGCUGCAUGGUGGGGGUUGGAAAGCUCCGGCGGUUGUGGAUGGACUCGCGGCCUAUCAGCUUGUUGGUGGGGUAGUGGCCUACCAAGGCGGCGACGGGAAGCCGGCCUGAGAGGGUGACCGGCCACCUUGGGACUGAGAUACGGCCCAGGUUGCGACGGGAGGGAGCAGUGGGGAAGAUUGAACAAUGGGCGCAAGCCUGAUGCAGCAACGCCGCGUGCGGGAUGACGGCCUUAGGGUUGUAAACCGCUUUCAGCAGGGACGAAGCUUUUUGUGACGGUACCUGCAGAAGAAGCACCGGCUAACUACGUG